rnacentral:rRNA from 1 species
GUAGGUGGCAAGCGUUGUCCGGAAUUAUUGGGCGUAAGGCGCGCGCAGGCGGUUCUUUAAGUCUGAUGUGAAAGCCCACGGCUCAACCGUGGAGGGUCAUUGGAAACUGGAGAACUUGAGUACAGAAGAGGAAAGCGGAAUUCCACGUGUAGCGGUGAAAUGCGUAGAGAUGUGGAGGAACACCAGUGGCGAAGGCGGCUUUUCUGGUCUGUAACUGACGCUGAGGCGCGAAAGCGUGGGGAGCAAACAGGAUUAGAUACCCUGGUAGUCCACGCCGUAAACGAUGAGUGCUAAGUGUUAGGGGGUUUCCGCCCCCCUUAGUGCUGCAGCUAACGCAUUAAGCACUCCGCCUGGGAGUACGGCCGCAAGGCUG